rnacentral:rRNA from 1 species
AACGAACGCUGGCGGCAGGCUUAACACAUGCAAGUCGAACGCCCCGCAAGGGGAGUGGCAGACGGGUGAGUAACGCGUGGGAAUCUACCUAGUUCUACGGAACAACAGAGGGAAACUUCUGCUAAUACCGUAUACGCCCUAAGGGGGAAAGAUUUAUCGGAAUUAGAUGAGCCCGCGUAAGAUUAGCUAGUUGGUGGGGUAAUGGCCUACCAAGGCGACGAUCUUUAGCUGGUCUGAGAGGAUGAUCAGCCACACUGGGACUGAGACACGGCCCAGACUCCUACGGGAGGCAGCAGUGGGGAAUAUUGGACAAUGGGCGCAAGCCUGAUCCAGCCAUGCCGCGUGAGUGAUGAAGGCCUUAGGGUUGUAAAGCUCUUUCAGUGGGGACGAUAAUGACGGUACCCACAGAAGAAGCCCCGGCUAACUUCGUGCCAGCCGCCGCGGUAAAAC